rnacentral:rRNA from 1 species
GAGUUCUCGAUUAUUGAAAGGUGCUCUGCACUCUUGAUUUAAUUUUGAACGAGUGGCGGACGGGUGAGUAACACGUGGGUAACCUGCCCUUAAGUGGGGGAUAACAUUUGGAAACAGAUGCUAAUACCGCAUAAAUCCAAGAACCGCAUGGUUCUUGGCUGAAAGAUGGCGUAAGCUAUCGCUUUUGGAUGGACCCGCGGCGUAUUAGCUAGUUGGUGAGGUAACGGCUCACCAAGGCAAUGAUACGUAGCCGAACUGAGAGGUUGAUCGGCCACAUUGGGACUGAGACACGGCCCAAACUCCUACGGGAGGCAGCAGUAGGGAAUCUUCCACAAUGGACGCAAGUCUGAUGGAGCAACGCCGCGUGAGUGAAGAAGGCUUUCGGGUCGUAAAACUCUGUUGUUGGAGAAGAAUGGUCGGCAGAGUAACUGUUGUCGGCGUGACGGUAUCCAACCAGAAAGCCACGGCUAACUACGUGCCAGCAGCCGCGGUAAUACGUAGGUGGCAAGCGUUAUCCGGAUUUAUUGGGCGUAAAGCGAGCGCAGGCGGUUUUUUAAGUCUGAUGUGAAAGCCCUCGGCUUAACCGAGGAAGUGCAUCGGAAACUGGAAAACUUGAGUGCAGAAGAGGACAGUGGAACUCCAUGUGUAGCGGUGAAAUGCGUAGAUAUAUGGAAGAACACCAGUGGCGAAGGCGGCUGUCUGGUCUGUAACUGACGCUGAGGCUCGAAAGCAUGGGUAGCGAACAGGAUUAGAUACCCUGGUAGUCCAUGCCGUAAACGAUGAAUGCUAGGUGUUGGAGGGUUUCCGCCCUUCAGUGCCGCAGCUAACGCAUUAAGCAUUCCGCCUGGGGAGUACGACCGCAAGGUUGAAACUCAAAGGAAUUGACGGGGGCCCGCACAAGCGGUGGAGCAUGUGGUUUAAUUCGAAGCAACGCGAAGAACCUUACCAGGUCUUGACAUCUUUUGAUCACCUGAGAGAUCAGGUUUCCCCUUCGGGGGCAAAAUGACAGGUGGUGCAUGGUUGUCGUCAGCUCGUGUCGUGAGAUGUUGGGUUAAGUCCCGCAACGAGCGCAACCCUUAUGACUAGUUGCCAGCAUUUAGUUGGGCACUCUAGUAAGACUGCCGGUGACAAACCGGAGGAAGGUGGGGAUGACGUCAAAUCAUCAUGCCCCUUAUGACCUGGGCUACACACGUGCUACAAUGGAUGGUACAACGAGUUGCGAGACCGCGAGGUCAAGCUAAUCUCUUAAAGCCAUUCUCAGUUCGGACUGUAGGCUGCAACUCGCCUACACGAAGUCGGAAUCGCUAGUAAUCGCGGAUCAGCACGCCGCGGUGAAUACGUUCCCGGGCCUUGUACACACCGCCCGUCACACCAUGAGAGUUUGUAACACCCGAAGCCGGUGGCGUAACCCUUUUAGGGAGCGAGCCGUCUAA